GCUGAGGGCUGGGUCUUUGCGGGCGAGAUGAGAGGUUCGUGGCUUCAACUGGCCUACAAAGUCCCAGUUCUCGGC
rnacentral:pre_miRNA from 1 species